rnacentral:rRNA from 1 species
UACGUAGGGGGCAAGCGUUGUCCGGAAUCAUUGGGCGUAAAGAGCGUGUAGGCGGCUCGGUAAGUCCGCUGUGAAAGUCCAGGGCUCAACCCUGGAAUGCCGGUGGAAACUGUCGAGCUAGAGUCCGGAAGAGGCGAGUGGAAUUCCUGGUGUAGCGGUGAAACGCGCAGAUAUCAGGAGGAACACCAAUGGCGAAGGCAGCUCGCUGGGACGGUACUGACGCUGAGACGCGAAAGCGUGGGGAGCAAACAGG